GAUGAACGCUGGCGGCGCGCCUAACACAUGCAAGUCGAGCGAAUAAAGCACCUUCGGGUGUGUAUGAAGUGACCGACGGCUGGGUGACACGUAGGCAACCAACCCCUUUCAUUGGGUUAGACACGGUAAACAGUGGGGAAUUCAGAACACUUCAAAUCUUCCACAUCGUAGUCCCGAAAAAGCCCCGGCGGUGUGGGAUGGUUCCGCAGCUUGCUGGCUUGUUUGAGAGGUAACGGCCUACGAAGGCAAUGCUGGGUAGCUGGGAUGAGAGACCGACCAGCCAGAUUGGGACUGAGACACGGCGCAGAAUCCUACGGGACGCAGCAGUGGGGAAUCUUGCAGAAUGGGGGAAAGCCUGAUGCGGCGACGUCGCGUGCGGGAUGAAGGCCUUCGGGUUGUAAACCGCUUUCAGCAGGGACGAGGAGAAAGUGACGGUACCUGAAGAAGAAGCCCCGGCUAACUACGUG
rnacentral:rRNA from 1 species